AUUGAACGCUGGCGGAAUGCUUUACACAUGCAAGUCGAACGGCAGCACGGGUGCUUGCACCUGGUGGCGAGUGGCGAUCGGGUGAGUAAUACAUCGGAACGUACCCAGUUAUGGGGGAUAACUAACCGAAAGGUUAGCUAAUACCGCAUACGCCCUGAGGGGGAAAGCGGGGGACCGUAAGGCCUCGCGUAAUUGGAGCGGCCGAUGUCUGAUUAGCUAGUUGGUGAGGUAAAGGCUCACCAAGGCGACGAUCAGUAGCAGGUCUGAGAGGAUGAUCUGCCACACUGGAACUGAGACACGGUCCAGACUCCGACGGGAGGCAGCAGUGGGGAAUUUUGGACAAUGGGCGAAAGCCUGAUCCAGCCAUUCCGCGUGAGUGAAGAAGGCCUUCGGGUUGUAAAGCUCUUUCGGCAGGGAAGAAACGCUCUGGGAUAAUACUCCGGGGUAAUGACGGUACCUGAAGAAGAAGCACCGGCUAACUACGUGCCAGCCGCCGCAGUAA
rnacentral:rRNA from 1 species